rnacentral:rRNA from 1 species
CCUACGGGAGGCAGCAGUAGGGAAUUUUCGGCAAUGGGGGGAACCCUGACCGAGCAACGCCGCGUGAACGAAGAAGUUAUUCGUAAUGUAAAGUUCUUUUAACAGGGAAGAAAGAGAAAUUUGACGGUACCUGAAGAAUAAGCUCCGGCUAACUACGUGCCAGCAGCCGCGGUAAUACGUAGGGAGCGAGCGUUAUCCGGAAUUAUUGGGUUUAAAGGGUGCGUAGGCGGACUGUUAAGUCAGCGGUAAAAGCCCGGGGCUCAACCCCGGCGAGCCGUUGAAACUGGCUGUCUUGAGAUGUCGAGAGGUAUGCGGAAUGCGCAGUGUAGCGGUGAAAUGCUUAGAUAUUGCGCAGAACUCCGAUUGCGAAGGCAGCAUACCGGCGGCGAUCUGACGCUGAGGCACGAAAGCGUGGGUAUCGAACAGGAUUAGAUACCCCGGUAGUC